rnacentral:rRNA from 1 species
UACAGGGGGGGCAAGCGUUGUUCGGAAUUACUGGGCGUAAAGGGCUCGUAGGUGGCCAACUAAGUCAGACGUGAAAUCCCUCAGCUUAACUGGGGAACUGCGUCUGAUACUGGAUGGCUUGAGUUUGGGAGAGGGAUGCGGAAUUCCAGGUGUAGCGGUGAAAUGCGCAGAUAUCGGGAGGAACACCCGUAGCGAAGGCGGCACUCUGGGCCGUGACUGACGCUGAGGAGCGAAAGCGUGGGGAGCAAACAGG